UAGCCAAGGAUGACUUGCCUGU
rnacentral:siRNA from 1 species